CUAGAGCACAGGCUCAGCAGUUGUGGCGCACGGGCUUAGUUGCUCCGCGGCAUGUGGGAUCUUCCCAGACCAGGGCUCGAACCCAGGUCCCCUGCAUUGGCAGGCGGAUUCUUAACCACUGUGCCACCAGGGAAGCCCUGUAAGCAUUAAAAACAAACACAAAAAUUUUAACACUCCUGACAUGUGAAUACAUUUCUUUAACAGCUACCCUCUAGGAAAAUCUGAAUUUCCAACACUUUUCAGAAACACAUGGUUGACAGCAGUGAGAAAGUAGCUGUUUUAGGCAUAAUGACCAGCUGCCUGGAUGUCCUGUGCUCUUGGCCCAGGCUUCAGCUCAUGGUGACGUCUGUGACCACAGCUGCCCAGGCUCAGCCACCUGACCCCACUGCAGCUCUCCCGUGGACCCUGGAAAUUCCCUCCCUGACUCCAUUGUUUAGGAGCAACUCGAGAAGAUCCCCCCAUGGUGAGGUUUCUGCUGGCCUUGGUCUGAAAGGAGGACUGGUGCUGUGGGUUUCAGAGAAGACUAAGGAAAGUUUAGGGGUUUGCAAGUUAAAAUCUAGUGAUCCAUAAUUCCCCCAUACAAACUGCAUGAAUCUAGUAGCUCACCUCACCAUCACACUUUCUUGAACUGGUGUUCUCCUUUCCCUUACCUGUUUUCCAUUUUGCUCACUCCUGGUUCGGACCAGCUAUGGUGAUUGAUAAAUCGCAUUCUCUGGUGGCUUUACUCAGAGUUAAUAGGCACUGUUGGGGGCUUCCACGUAACAAUCCCAAGUAAUCCUAAUAGCCGUCCCUGAGGAGAACACUGGUCAUAUUUUGUCAUAAUAUGUGAGUACAAACCGGCAUGUUUCAUAAUUUCUGUGCCUUAAUUUUUAUGUCUGUAAAACAGAAGUGAGCACGGUUCGUCCUAGCUCACAGGGUUGCCCUGAGGAAGGUGAUCAGUAUUAGGUCAUUAUGUCCUUCCUCUCAUGCAAGUACACGAAUUCUGGUGUGCACAGCGAGGGUCCCCUCCAGUGUGGACUGAUGGGAGCAACGUCUGCUGCCUAUUUGCAGGAAUCUGGGGGCCCAGGGAAUAGGAAGUGCUUUCGAGGAUGGAAAUUCAGAUUUCCACAGAUUUCUGAACAGAUAUCCCUAACCUGUCCGUAGGGUCUAUCUUUCAGAUCACAGUUUGUCCUGGAGCUGAGCAAGCUAGGGAUGGCGGCAAUGGUCUGAUACGGGUCCCUUUGCAAGUUAAAGGGACUGAGCUGUGGCCAAAAAAUUCUGGGCUCUUCCCUCUUAGUUCUGUGUUUCUGGAAAAACUGGAAUCUCAGGAUUAAGAGGCAGACGUUACAAUUUCCUCCAGCAUGUUGGAAGGCAGCUGCCCAGCCCUUGCUUUAACACUGCUCAUGGUGUGGCAGAGAGAGCAGACCUGGGUAAGAAGCUUAGCUCUAUUCACUUUGUUAUAAAGCAGAAACUAACACACCAUUGUAAAGCAAUUAUACUCC
rnacentral:lncRNA from 1 species